rnacentral:rRNA from 1 species
ACAUCCAGAGAAUUUAGCAGAGAUGCUUUAGUGCCUUCGGGAACUCUGAGGACAGGUGCUGCAUGGCUGUCGUCAGCUCGUGUUGUGAAAUGUUGGGUUAAGUCCCGCAACGAGCGCAACCCUUAUCCUUUGUUGCCAGCACGUAAUGGUGGGAACUCAAAGGAGACUGCCGGUGAUAAACCGGAGGAAGGUGGGGAUGACGUCAAGUCAUCAUGGCCCUUACGAGUAGGGCUACACACGUGCUACAAUGGCGCAUACAAAGAGAAGCGACCUCGCGAGAGCAAGCGGACCUCAUAAAGUGCGUCGUAGUCCGGAUUGGAGUCUGCAACUCGACUCCAUGAAGUCGGAAUCGCUAGUAAUCGUAAAUCAGAAUGUUACGGUGAAUACGUUCCCGGGCCUUGUACACACCGCCCGUCACACCAUGGGAGUGGGUUGCAAAAGAAGUAGAUAGCUUAACCUUCGGGAGGGCGUUUACCACUUUGUGAUUCAUGACUGGGGUGAAGUCGUAACAAGGUAAGCGUAGUGCU